AGCUCCGAGUUCACGAGUUGUGACGAGUUUGCUGACGUUGUCAGAAAUGGCAGAGGCCAUGGAAGUUAAUAUUUCAGUACAUAAUAUGUGAAUAGAUUGUAAUUUUAGUGCUAUGUUGUUUUUCUUUGUAAUUUCAUAAUAGGUUUGAGGAAAAUGUUGAUAUUUCCAACGGCUUUAUCUUCUUCCUCUGUCAUUAUGCCUUUGCAUUUCCUGCAUAAUGUUACCUGCUUGCUACUAUAAAUUGUAAGCCUCUGUGGCUUCUAGACGCCGACAGUAACGUUAAUAUUGCUGUUGCUUAGCAGCGGCGUUCUCACGACUUAACCACUUCAACGCCAAGCAUACCGUGUACACGACUUCCCACGUUGUAAACACAAGCUCAACAGUUUCAUUUGGAGGCACUAUAAAAAGCAGUGCUGCUACAAUGAUCUCAGGCUUUCUCUCUAGUGAGACGACAGCUGCAAUCAUUGAUGUGAAACAGGCGUUUUAUGGGAUAUUUGCUCUCUGAUAAAGCCGUGGCAAAAUGUUUUACAAAAGUAUCACUGACGCUUUGAAAAACAGUAGUGUUCUGCGCAGGGUCAGACCACAGCAGUUUUCUCAAUAAAAAAAAAGAGGAAAGAUCUCUGAGGAAGAAACUUGUUUUGGAUGCUGAGACAAUCUAACAGCUUCCAUAAAAUCAAUAGCAGCUACGAUGAAAUGCCAUCAAUUUAAGGCGUUUUGGAUUCUGGCGCUGAAACUAAAGUUCAGUUUGUGUGAUUGAUUGGAGCAGUGUUGGGGGAAAAAAUUGCUGUUGAAGACGAUGGCCUCUCUCUGCAGAGUUUGCCCACCCACUGAGUUGGAAAGGUGCACCGAUUACCUUGACUGUUAAGAGUCCCAGAAACCGUAAAUGCAGGCGGAGUGCUUUAGCCUCGAUGCUAAGAGCAUGCUGGGCCUUUCUAUGAUUUUAAAAAAAGAUUUUGGUUUGAGAUUUGAUUUAAAAAAUGUGGACAUGCUGGGAAUAUAAGUGAAAGGUGAGGCAGUUUUAUUAACAGUCUCCGACUGAGAGUUUCUGAAUAAAAGGAUAUGGCCUUGUGUAUUCAGCUGAGCAAAGACUAGGCGCAUUAUUUCUCUUCACUCAGUCCACCUCUUUGCUUCAGACUAUUAAUCCAUCUCAACAACAUUAAAAUGGAUUACCAUGAAAUUUUGUACAGGCAUUCAUUGAAUUGGCCAUUCCAUUGCAACAUCAGGGCCCAGCACUGAAGCUGCGCUUCCGACAUUUUGGACUGAAAGCGACUGCCGGACGCCAGUAAAACAUCCGCCAGUAAAACGUCCGCCAGUAAAACGUCCACCUACAAAGUGCCGCACAAAAGUAAAACAAAAUUCUAUUGUCAUACAGUUCAUUUUCAGUCCAAAAUGGCUGCAGCGGCUGUCAAAAAGCACCUGGAGUUUCGUGUCCUUGCUUCUAGACGGCCUCCCAGAGCCACUAGCAUGGCUUAGCGUGGUUUGAAGGUGCAGUAUUUACAUAUGUGACCUGAUGGGAUAAGUUGAAAUUGAUGGAGGGGGUGGACAGUGGUGGAAGAGAUAUUUUACUUAAGUAAAAGUAGCAAUACCACAGUGUAAAACAUACCUUUUCAGGUUUUCAGGUCCUAAUUGACUGAUUGUCCUAAUUAGAAGAGUCUAAUCUCUGCUAUCGGACCCAUGUGCUGUAGAUAAAGCUAUAAAUCCUUUGUUUUUAAGGCUGAAACUGCCACUAUUGUUUUCCAUCAGUGAAGUAGAGCAGGGCAGAAAGGGAGAGAGGAAGUGUGAGAAUUUUUGUAUCAGAAAAAAAGUUGUGAAUAUGUUAGAAUCAGAUGAAGUAAAGGUGAUGGAAAGGGAAGAUAGCUAUUUAAGAAAGGGCAUCAAGAGAGAUGGCAUGCUGCUGCGCCCCGCCUCAAAUGAAGCACUGACUACAACACUGAGAUGUUCCCGCUUCCACAAAAGAACAGAACUGCUCUUACAUUAGAGCUGCAGAGGGCUGAAAUCUACAAACACUUUGGAGUAUAACCCCGGGGGAACAACAGAUAAAGGCCCAGCUGGAGCACACUUAUUUCCAUAUUGCUGCCCAGCCUUGAGUACGGAUAAUUCACAACUGCACCAGUGAAUGAACGAACCGCUCACAUUUGUGCGAUAUUGAAUAAAAGGUGACACAGCUCAAGCAGGCGAAUGCCUUUUUCAGUCUAAA